AAACGACUCUCGGCAACGGAUAUCUCGGCUCACGCAUCGAUGAAGAACGUAGCAAAAUGCGAUACUUGGUGUGAAUUGCAGAAUCCCGUGAACCAUCGAGUUUUUGAACGCAAGUUGCGCCCGAAGCCUUCUGGUUGAGGGCACGUCUGCCUGGGCGUCACGC
rnacentral:rRNA from 23 species